rnacentral:rRNA from 1 species
ACCUUAUCGGUACUCCGAAUGCAUCUAGAUUAUGAGUUUGAUCAUGGCUCAGAUUGAACGCUGGCGGCAUGCCUUACACAUGCAAGUCGAACGGUAACAGGUCUUCGGACGCUGACGAGUGGCGAACGGGUGAGUAAUACAUCGGAACGUGCCCAGUCGUGGGGGAUAACUACUCGAAAGAGUAGCUAAUACCGCAUACGAUCUGAGGAUGAAAGCGGGGNGACCUUCGGGCCUCGCGCGAUUGGAGCGGCCGAUGGCAGAUUAGGUAGUUGGUGGGAUAAAAGCUUACCAAGCCGACGAUCUGUAGCUGGUCUGAGAGGACGACCAGCCACACUGGGACUGAGACACGGCCCAGACUCCUACGGGAGGCAGCAGUGGGGAAUUUUUGGACAAUGGGCGAAAGCCUGAUCCAGCAAUGCCGCGUGCAGGAUGAAUGCCUUCGGGUUGUAAACUGCUUUUGUACGGAACGAAAAAG